GUGAAUCAUCGAAUCUUUGAACGCACAUUGCGCCCUUUGGUAUUCCACUGGGCAUGCCUGUUCGAGCGUCAUCUACACCCUCGGGCCACGCUCGGUGUUGGGCGCGCUGUCCGCGACGCGGACUCGCCUUAAAUCCAUUGGCGGCGACCCGGCCAGCUCCCCUACGCAGCGCACGCGUUCUAGGAGGGCUCGCCCAGGGGCUCCCCCACCAAGACCACGGUCUGACCUCGAAUCAGGUAGGGAUACCCGCUGAACUUAAGCAUAUCAAUAAGCGGAGGA
rnacentral:misc_RNA from 1 species